UACAGAGGAUGCGAGCGUUAAUCGGAAUUACUGGGCGUAAAGCGCGCGUAGGCGGCUUUGCAAGUCGGGUGUGAAAUCCCCAGGCUUAACCUGGGAACUGCAUUCGAGACUGCAUUGCUAGAGUAUGGGAGAGGGAAGUGGAAUUUCCGGUGUAGCGGUGAAAUGCGUAGAUAUCGGAAGGAACAUCAGUGGCGAAAGCGACUACCUGGACCAGCACUGACACUGAGGCACGAAAGCGUGGGGAGCAAACAGG
rnacentral:rRNA from 1 species